rnacentral:rRNA from 1 species
GGCGGCAGGCCUAACACAUGCAAGUCGAACGGUAACAGGAAGAAGCUUGCUUCUUUGCUGACGAGUGGCGGACGGGUGAGUAAUGUCUGGGAAACUGCCUGAUGGAGGGGGAUAACUACUGGAAACGGUAGCUAAUACCGCAUAACGUCGCAAGACCAAAGAGGGGGACCUUCGGGCCUCUUGCCAUCGGAUGUGCCCAGAUGGGAUUAGCUAGUAGGUGGGGUAACGGCUCACCUAGGCGACGAUCCCUAGCUGGUCUGAGAGGAUGACCAGCCACACUGGAACUGAGACACGGUCCAGACUCCUACGGGAGGCAGCAGUGGGGAAUAUUGCACAAUGGGCGCAAGCCUGAUGCAGCCAUGCCGCGUGUAUGAAGAAGGCCUUCGGGUUGUAAAGUACUUUCAGCGGGGAGGAAGGGAGUAAAGUUAAUACCUUUGCUCAUUGACGUUACCCGCAGAAGAAGCACCGGCUAACUCCGUGCCAGCAGCCGCGGUAAUACGGAGGGUGCAAGCGUUAAUCGGAAUUACUGGGCGUAAAGCGCACGCAGGCGGUUUGUUAAGUCAGAUGUGAAAUCCCCGGGCUCAACCUGGGAACUGCAUCUGAUACUGGCAAGCUUGAGUCUCGUAGAGGGGGGUAGAAUUCCAGGUGUAGCGGUGAAAUGCGUAGAGAUCUGGAGGAAUACCGGUGGCGAAGGCGGCCCCCUGGACGAAGACUGACGCUCAGGUGCGAAAGCGUGGGGAGCAAACAGGAUUAGAUACCCCUGGUAGUCCACGCCGUAAACGAUGUCGACUUGGAGGUUGUGCCCUUGAGGCGUGGCUUCCGGAGCUAACGCGUUAAGUCGACCGCCUGGGGAGUACGGCCGCAAGGUUAAAACUCAAAUGAAUUGACGGGGGCCCGCACAAGCGGUGGAGCAUGUGGUUUAAUUCGAUGCAACGCGAAGAACCUUACCUGGUCUUGACAUCCACAGAACUUUCCAGAGAUGGAUUGGUGCCUUCGGGAACUGUGAGACAGGUGCUGCAUGGCUGUCGUCAGCUCGUGUUGUGAAAUGUUGGGUUAAGUCCCGCAACGAGCGCAACCCUUAUCCUUUGUUGCCAGCGGUCCGGCCGGGAACUCAAAGGAGACUGCCAGUGAUAAACUGGAGGAAGGUGGGGAUGACGUCAAGUCAUCAUGGCCCUUACGACCAGGGCUACACACGUGCUACAAUGGCGCAUACAAAGAGAAGCGACCUCGCGAGAGCAAGCGGACCUCAUAAAGUGCGUCGUAGUCCGGAUUGGAGUCUGCAACUCGACUCCAUGAAGUCGGAAUCGCUAGUAAUCGUGGAUCAGAAUGCCACGGUGAAUACGUUCCCGGGCCUUGUACACACCGCCCGUCACACCAUGGGAGUGGGUUGCAAAAGAAGUAGGUAGCUUAACCUUCGGGAGGGCGCUUACCACUUUGUGAUUCAUGACUGGGGUGAAGUA